UAUUUUUAUUAGAAGUCUUCUUGACAUUGUAUAUACAAAAUUUAUACUAAAUUUAUUUUUUUUUAAUAUGAUUGACAAUUAACGUUCAAACGAAAUUUAAUAGGUGACACGUCAAAUUCAUACUUUGGGAAGACAUUUCAUAUGCGCUAACCUAAUAAGAUAACCUUUUUCAAGAUAAUUUUUAAGAAUUUAAUCGGUGAUUAAAUAAUAAUCGUUAAAUUAAACGCCAAUUAUUGUACAUCUGUAGGAAAUUGCAUUCUAUUUUUACAACAUUACGAUAGAACUUGUUUACACAUUUGAUUAGAAAUUCGAUUUUCGCCAAUGUAUACCGGUGUCCCUUUGUUUUGAAGUAUUCUGCUGCAGAUGCCGGUAUCUGCUACAUAGAGUGCGCGCUGGUCAACGACCUAUUCCUACCAUACAACUAUAGUCAAGAGAUUUAACAGAUUUAUAUACGCUCACGGGUAUAUUUACAUAGCUGUCGUAUGUGUUCUUUCUCGACGUGAUGCGUACACGAUACCGGGAGUCGUUAUUAGUUUGAAAGUUCUUGGUCAAGUCGGUUGCAUGGCGAAGCAAAGACGUCAAGGUUAGUACACCUUUUUACGUUAAGUCGACCUUCCGAGUACGAUGCGGGCUUCGUCACGGUUCGACAAUCUGCCUUUAUACUGAAACGUUUGACCGUGAAUAUGAGUCGAUUUAAUUCAAACAUAGAAACAUAAACAAUCAUAUCUUCCGGUCAGUUAUAUUCUUUCUCUCUUUCUCUUUCUUUGUGUUCAGAAAAUUCUUCGAUCGACGAUCGGUGCCAUUACACACGCUGUCUAACGUAUACAUAUACAUACAUAGUUAUGUACAAGACGCGUAUAGGUUAAGAUAAUCUAUGUUUUUGUUGUGUUGACUAAAGACUUCAUUUUAAAAGUAUAUUCGUACAUUUAUAACGAAUAUUAGUCUACAAGGUUGUAAAAAUGCUUUCAGAAGAAAGUCAUGAAUUUUUUUAGAUUAUUUUGUAACAUGGAUCAUAAUCACGAAUAUAUAUAGCGGCGAAUAAAAGAAAGUUCAAGAUUGAUACACUAUGAAUUUUGGUCUUAAAAAGACAAUAAAAUCUGCGGCCGGAUAUUCAAGAUGAAACUUCAAACGUAGAAACACACAGUUUUAAGAGGAAAUUUCAUCUUUUCCACGCUUCAGGAAAAGGAAAGUUUUAUUUGUUGUAUCGUCAGUUUUGUUUUAAAUUAUAGUAUAAAAUUAUAAUUAUAAACGAUCUUGAAUUUUUGUUUUAAUAUUAUGAAAAAUCUGAAACAAGGGUCGAGUUUAUAAUUAUUCACGGCACUGUAUAUUAUGUUUACAUAGUGAUCGCUCUUAUUAUCUUAUUAAAUAUAAAUCCGUUAUUAAAAUUA